rnacentral:rRNA from 1 species
GGUAUUGAUUGGUGCUUGCAUCWYGAUUUACAUUUGAGUGAGUGGCGAACUGGUGAGUAACACGUGGGAAACCUGCCCAGAAGCGGGGGAUAACACCUGGAAACAGAUGCUAAUACCGCAUAACAACUUGGACCGCAUGGUCCGAGYUUGAAAGAUGGCUUCGGCUAUCACUUUUGGAUGGUCCCGCGGCGUAUUAGCUAGAUGGUGRGGUAACGGCUCACCAUGGCAAUGAUACGUAGCCGACCUGAGAGGGUAAUCGGCCACAUUGGGACUGAGACACGGYCCAAACUCCUACGGGAGGCAGCAGUAGGGAAUCUUCCACAAUGGACGAAAGUCUGAUGGAGCAACGCCGCGUGAGUGAAGAAGGGUUUCGGCUCGUAAAACUCUGUUGUUAAAGAAGAACAUAUCUGAGAGUAACUGUUCAGGUAUUGACGGUAUUUAACCAGAAAGCCACGGCUAACUACGUGCCAGCAGCCGCGGUAAUACGUAGGUGGCAAGCGUUGUCCGGAUUUAUUGGGCGUAAAGCGAGCGCAGGCGGUUUUUUAAGUCUGAUGUGAAAGCYUUCGGCUCAACCGAAGAAGUGCAUCGGAAACUGGGAAACUUGAGUGCAGAAGAGGACAGUGGAACUCCAUGUGUAGCGGUGAAAUGCGUAGAUAUAUGGAAGAACACCAGUGGCGAAGGCGGCUGUCUGGUCUGUAACUGACGCUGAGGCUCGAAAGUAUGGGUAGCAAACAGGAUUAGAUACCCUGGUAGUCCAUACCGUAAACGAUGAAUGCUAAGUGUUGGAGGGUUUCCGCCCUUCAGUGCUGCAGCUAACGCAUUAAGCAUUCCGCCUGGGGAGUACGGCCGCAAGGCUGAAACUCAAAGGAAUUGACGGGGGCCCGCACAAGCGGUGGAGCAUGUGGUUUAAUUCGAAGCUACGCGAAGAACCUUACCAGGUCUUGACAUACUAUGCAAAUCUAAGAGAUUAGACGUUCCCUUCGGGGACAUGGAUACAGGUGGUGCAUGGUUGUCGUCAGCUCGUGUCGUGAGAUGUUGGGUUAAGUCCCGCAACGAGCGCAACCCUUAUUAUCAGUUGCCAGCAUUAAGUUGGGCACUCUGGUGAGACUGCCGGUGACAAACCGGAGGAAGGUGGGGAUGACGUCAAAUCAUCAUGCCCCUUAUGACCUGGGCUACACACGUGCUACAAUGGAUGGUACAACGAGUUGCGAACUCGCGAGAGUAAGCUAAUCUCUUAAAGCCAUUCUCAGUUCGGAUUGUAGGCUGCAACUCGCCUACAUGAAGUCGGAAUCGCUAGUAAUCGCGGAUCAGCAUGCCGCGGUGAAUACGUUCCCGGGCCUUGUACACACCGCCCGUCACACCAUGAGAGUUUGUAACACCCAAAGUCGGUGGGGUAACCUUUUAGGAACCAGCCGCCU